GUAAUAAGUUUAAGUUAAUCUAAAAGCUACUUUUCCCGGGAGCGGUGCCAAAAUUUGAUACGCUCAAACUUACUUCUCAAAUAAGAAGUAAAGCGAUCGUAUCAAGUAAAGAACCCAACUAAUGAGGUUGGUAUCGUUCCCAUGAGGAAAAUAGUUCAGACUUAACUUCGAUCUAUUAUUACUAUUGUUUAGUAAAUUAUUUCCUUGGAAAGCGAAGAAAAUAAAAAGUGGGUUUUCUAUUUCUAAAUAAAUGAGAACAACUAGCGAAAUUAAAGGAGACAACUAACAGUUUCAAAUGUUGGAUUUUGAUGAAUUAAUAAAGUUAACUAGGGUUAACGUGUUCCCCACAGGUUCAUAACUUGAUAAUUCUAACUAUAACAAUUUUUUCCUAGUAUCUUGGAUGCAAAGUGAUAAGUUAUGUAUUUCUAAAUCCUUGGUCCGGCAUCUAGAAAAUUGCACUCCGCGCCUUGGUCUGGCUACGUGUGUUGCUAUACUAACCCUUACCUUUACCUCAUAUGAAGCAUGAUAUUCGAUAUAUGACAAAGUUAUUACCUCGUACCAAUCAAUACUAGCCUAUUAGAUAGUAUACACUAAAUCUAUAUUAAUAAUUCUUUUCCUAUUAUCUACGUCCUUGGUCCGGUAAAUAGCAUUAAGGCGAGUUCUAACAUUGGCCAUCCAUUAAAAAGACUUCUAACCGAAAUAAUUAUCAAUACAUGCAAGACACUAUUCUAGAAUUGUUAUUUUAGUUAGGUUUUACCUCAUUAUUCGCCUAUGGUUCCCACAACAAUAGUUAUGGAGUUCAGUUACCCAUAGUCAUAAUCACAACAUUCAAAUAUGUAAUAUAAGAAUUCAUGCACUUACUUCAAUGAGAAAGAAUAAAAUCCAGAAGUUCACUUGAUUAUUUAACAAAAAUGACCAAAAAUCAAUUACUUAAAUUAAUUGAAGACUAAAGAUUCUCCAAAUGUGUAACAAUAAUCACCAAGCCUAAUCCAAAAAAGAAGCUCAAAUAACCAAGAGUCUAAAAAAGUUCUAAAAAUAAUCAAGAGUCUAACCCCAAUAACGAGGUUUUUGAACUAUUUAUAAAAAAAUAAAAACCUAAUUAAAUAAGGACUCUAUUUCCUGGAAAUCUGUCAAAAGGCGGCUGGGUCGACGGACCUCGCAACGGAUCUUCGUGGUCACGACGGGCCGUCAUGGAUUUCGUCGUCCCAUACUUGUGCAUUUUUCUUCUGCUUCUCUGUUCAUUACCCUCGACGGACGGUAUGACGGAUUGUCACAGGCACAACAUUCCGUUGAGGGUCUCCAUUCCAAAACAGUUGAACUCUUAGAAUUUGGGUACUGGACUACUUCUCUGAUCUUCAUGACGAACCAGCAGGGCGGACCGUCAUGGCUACGUGGUCCGUCACGCACUCCGUAACCCCACACUUGGUAAGAAUUCCCCAUCUUCCUUUAGCAGCUGCACUACGAUGCCACCUACGGACCGUCACGAGCACGACAAACCGUCACAAGCUCCGUAGGUAGGCUUUUAUGUAUUUCUUGCUCAAAAACCUCCGCAUUCAUCUUUUAGAAAGAUUUCCUACAAAUAAAGAGAAACUUACAUAAAAAUUAUUAUAAAAAGUCUUUUAGACACACUAAACAUAAGGAAAAAGUAUUUAAAAUACCGUGAAACUACGGUAUAUCAGGCAUGCCGGACAAUAUCAUCUCAUGAGAGUUACGUGAACCUCCGCCCUUCUCGAAGGAAGGCAUCACCGCUCAUAGCUAGCCUAUCGGUGCUCAGUAUAAAGUUCCAUUACAUUCAACUCAUACAUCACGGAAGCUGGCUUCUAGCAUGAGGGCAUCAUGUCUCAUUAGAUGAUUUCUCAUCACAUCAUUAGUGUUAAAUUUGGAUUGUCCUUACACUUACAUAUAGAUUAUGACUGAGACUUGUCUCUUGAUAUUCCACACUAUCUUAGUUGAGUACUUUUAGUGACCUUUACUUAGGCUUUUGGUAGAGACUUGUCUCACCAUUCAUCUUAGCCUCUUGUUAUGUUUUCACCAUUUUCAAUAGAAUCAUAGAUUUACAUAAUUACUCACCUCAUUACGAAUUGUUCAUUUCUUCUUUAUCUUUAAGUGUUGAGUCAAGACUUAUGGAGGUUCGCUUCUAGAUUGCGAUUUACUUAUUCUAUUGAUGACUGGUCAUCCUUAAUUUACAUUGAUGAAAUGUGAAUUUUCCUUACAUAUCAUCCUUUGGUGUUAAUGAGACUGGCUCACACAUUCUAACACCUUCAUACGUGAGUAUUCUUUUAACAUAGUAGCUUAGGUGUAACUGAGACUUGUCUCGCUAUCAUUGACACCUCAUUCUGGCCAGUUACUUCCUUUAGACCCCUUUUAUUAUGUUAUAACUCAUGUUACUUACUUAAUUUAGUGUAGUAGAUUCAAAUCAUCAUUUAUGGACGAUAAUCACUUCAUUCAAUGAGUUUCAUGAGUUUAUAUGUCAUUCCUUUAGAGCAAGUUGGGAGUUGUCCCAAUGAAUGGCAUUCCCUUAGUUAUGGAUUCAUUGAAUUACUUCAGAUGUGCUUAUUCAUUUGGCAUUCCAAUAUUUUAGUCAUAUAAGGUAGUAUAGGGUAUGUUGGGACUUGUCCCAUUGAUUGACAUACAUUUAGUAUGGAUUGAUUUUAUUUUGUUGGUCAUGCUUAAUUUGACAUUGCAUUAUAUUGGGCACAUAAGAUUGGUGUAAAUUUAUUAUUGGCCUAGAAAAUUGGGAAAUGACUUCAUAGCCAAUUUAUUAGCACUAGACAAACAUUCAUUCAAAUAUAGUUUCAUGAGAUUCUCAUUAGCCAAUUUUUCCAUCAUUAUUUAAAAGCAAUAAUGUAAGCCAAUUCCAUUCAACUUUUGGGCAAGACAUUGUUAGCCAUUUUACUGGCAUAACCCAAACAUUCAUUCAACUUGUGAGUUCAUGGAGGUCUGUUAUCAAACCUUAUAACGUAACAUUAGGCAUAACGCUUUUAAAUAUCUUGGACAGAAUUAUAUUAAAAUUUGAUGAAUAUAUGAUGUUUAUAACAUCAUAUUAACAUCAUCUAUGCACAACAUACCGUAACAUCUUUAUAUAUAACAUCCUCGGACAUGUCUUUAUCAUAGUAUCAUUCUUUAAUUCACAUAGUAACACUUAGCAUCAAACGAGUCUAAUAAUAGGUUCAUUCAAUCAUUAUAUAAAUAAAAACCAUACAUAUUAAGAUCAGUCAGCACCACAUACCAACAGCAUGAUUUCUAACCUAUUCAACAUUGAAAUCGUAACAAGGAUACUAGGGAAAGUAGUUCGACAAGAACGACGAGAAACAACCCUAGUGUUCAAGAUCUAUGGAUCAUUCAAAAGAAAGUUCUCUUCGAGAAAGAAGUCUUGGAGAGAAACUCAUACCUUAUGUAGAACUUAAUCUACAAAGAUCACCUUGAACGAAACCUUGAAAUCGCCUUAGAGUAAUCGAUAAAUUUUUUGUUUUUUUUUGCGUUCAUUGCUUACUGUUUUGCGUACUUUUUGUCUAUGAGUUUGAACAUAAUUUUUAGGUUUAAUAACUGAAAUUGACUCACUCAACUUAGGGUUUAAUAAGUUAAUGAAAUAAAUUAAUUAACUAAUUAGUAAAAAGCUCCUCCUAGAUUGACUAGAACUAGGAAAACACAAUACUUAGUGUAAGAAUUUUUUUAACCCCCUUAAUUUAAUUAAUUAAAUAGAUAAUUUAAUUAAUUAAGUGACCUAGGAUAAUUACUAAAGUACCCUUAAGUCGUUAUAACCAAAACUAAUCCUUUGAACCAUCCUAGGUUAGGUAGGUUGUCCGUUUCUUGUCUUAACUGAAAUCUGAAAAUUUCCUUUUUAUUUUUGGUUUUAGCCCUUUUAAAUUAAUUAAUUAAUUUGCUAAAUUAAUUAAUUUGGUAAUUUAGGAGAUUACUAAAGUACCCGUAAGUUAUUAGUACCAUAAUUAACCUUUUGGACCAUCCUAGGUUAGGUACUAGGUUGUCUCUUUAACUAGUACUAGGUUAGUAUCAUCCCGGUUUUGGUCCUAGGUUGUCAGGUGCACUAUUGGGUCCAAUUAGGUUAGUCCUAGGUUAUUUAGUUAUUCACAUCAGUAGGUUAGAGUCUAGAAUUUAUAGGGAGGUUUGGCCCCACAUGAAAUGGUUCCUUGUGCACAUUUCCCCCCUAAACUACCCUAAUCGAAUUCGGUUAUGGUGGUCCCCUCCUUUGGCAGCUUCUUCACAUGUCUUGCACAUGAGCUUGCACAUGGGUUGGUUGCACUUUCCUAACUAACUAUUAUUUAUGGUUCAUUUAUGAAUGUUUACUUAUUGUCCUAUGGAUUCUCACUAUGUCCUUGGGCACUGUUUAAUCUACAUGAUCCUUUUAAAUGGUCACGUGUUAUGGUACUAGGCUUUGCACUUGGAUGCCUAGUAGUUCAUAUGAUUUGUAUAGAUGACUUUUUAAUUAGCUUAUGGUCUUCAUUUCAGGUACAUUCAUUACACAAACUCAUAGAUACUCGAAAAUUCAUCUAACAUUCUCUAAACCAACAUUUUCUAUUAUGCCCUUAAUUUUCUAAUAUGCCCAAUAUUUGUAAAUAUUGUGCAAUGGGAUGCCUAUUUACCCGUGAUACACAUUCUUAAGAACCUAUUGAGAUUUUCAUUAAAGGUAUGAUUUUCCAAAAUGUUACACCUAGUGAGUCUUGUAAAUGUAUCGUGGCUGACAUGAGUUACUUGAUAAAAUAAAAAUAGUAGAUUUUUACUAGCAAAACAGUUUUACUGUAUUUUGUGUCAUGUACUUACAUGAAAAAUGUUGCAUGAUUUAUGUAUAAAAUUUGCAAAAAUUUCAUUGACAUUGCAGCUUUAAUCGCUUUAUCAAGUUAAUUUGUUGUCGAGUCCCGUUUAACUAUCUAUGAAGCAAUAUUGUUUGCUUUUAAUAUUAUAUUGCAUGAUUUACAUAUAAAAUUGCUAUUAUUCAGUGCAUGUUCGAGCUUCAACCAUUUUAUCAACUUAAUUUGUCGUCAAGUGUUAUUUAGCUAUCUAUUAAGUAAUUUGAGCUUCAAACAUUUUAUCAGCUUAAUUUGUUAUCAUGUGUAAUUUAGCUAUCUAUUAAGUAACAUCGUUUGUCAUUCACGUGUUGUAAUCUAAUUCUCACAAAUUUACACUAGGUUUGUCCUGUACAUAAAUAUCAUAGUAAAAUGUAUGAUUCAUUUAUUAUUUGACAAGUAAUAAUGAAUAGAAAACUAAUUUUAUUAAAGUAUAAUUAUUUUAUUCACUUCUCAGAUUAUAAUUAUACUUCAAUUUAAUCCUAAAAUAAGUAUUUAUCAAAUCGUCGAAUCUUUUAGACCUUUAUUUCUUACUAUCAAUUAUUCAUUUUGGGAUUCUAUUAUUUUUGGUAUUAUGAUAUCUUUGAUAGUAUUAAUCUAGUCAUAAUUUGUCUUAGUAUCAAAUAAUUCUUAAUUAUUUAUAACUUAGAUUUUUGGAGAACAUAUUAUUUUUAAUAUAUAUCAAAUCAGUUCAUAAAUUAGAAUAAUAUCAAUAUAGCUAUUAUGUAUUUCUUUGAUUUUAAUUUUAGUUGAGAUAUUAAAUAGCUCAUGAGACGUGUUAGAUAUGUAUUAUUUAUUUAUUUUAUUUGGCUAAAUUUCCAACUUAAUACACAUUGCACUAUGAUAUUAUAAGUUUAUAACAAAGGUUAUUAGUACAAUAUAUAAGAUCAAGAAAACUGCGGUAGCAGCUGCAACAGGAGCUGAAUAUGCAACAGCAAUCCAAGGUCGCAUACCCAGACAGAAGCUAAGCUCCCACUCAUGACCCAUGUAACAAGCUACGCCAAGUAAGAAGUGUAGAACAAUUAGUUCAUAAGGACCACCGUUGUAUAACCAUUCAUCAACUGAUGCCGCUUCCCACAUUGGGUAAAAAUGUAAACCUAUAGCUGCAGAAGUAGGAAUAAUGGCACCGGAAAUAAUGUUGUUUCCGUAUAGUAGAGACCCUGAAACAGGUUCACGAAUACCAUCAAUGUCUACUGGAGGAGCAGCAAUGAAGGCAAUAAUAAAUACAGAAGUUGCCGUCAAUAAGGUAGGGAUCAUCAAAACACCAAACCAUCCAAUGUAAAGACAGUUUUCAGUGCUAG
rnacentral:lncRNA from 1 species